GGAAGGGCACCACCAGGAGUGGAGCCUGCGGCUGAAUUUGAAACACGGGAAAUCUCACCAGGCCCGGACACCGGUAGGAUUGACAGAUUGAGAGCUCUUUCUUGAUUCGGUGGGUGGUGGUGCAUGGCCGUUCGGUAGUUGGUGGAGCGAUUUGUCCGGUUAAUUCCAAGAAAGAACGAGACUCUGGCCUAUUUAUUAGACGUUAGAUCCCUUCGUGGGUCUAUCACAGCUUCUUAGAGGGACGGGCGGCAUUUAGCCGCAUGAGAUUGAGCAAUAACAGGUCUGUGAUGCCUUUAGAUGUCCGGGGCCGCACGCGCGCUACACUGAAGUGAUCAGCGUGCUUUUUCAACCUACUCUGUCAAGAGUGGGGAACCCAAUGAACCUUCUUCGUGAUUGGGAUAGGGGAUUGUAAUUGUUCCCCUUGAACGAGGAAUUCCCAGUAAGCGCGAGUCAUAAGCUCGCGUUGAUUACGUCCCUGCCCUUUGUACACACCGCCCGUCGCUACUACCGAUUGAAUGU
rnacentral:rRNA from 1 species